AAUAGAUACCCUGGUAGUCCAUGCCGUAAACGUUGGGAACUAGAUGUAGGGCCUGUUCCACGGGUUCUGUGUCGUAGCNUAACGCAUUAAGUUCCCCGCCUGGGGAGUACGGCCGCAAGGCUAAAACUCAAAGGAAUUGACGGGGGCCCGCACAAGCGGCGGAGCAUGCGGAUUAAUUCGAUGCAACGCGAAGAACCUUACCAAGGCUUGACAUAUAGAAGAACACUGCAGAGAUGCAGGACUCUUUGGACACUUCUAUACAGGUGGUGCAUGGUUGUCGUCAGCUCGUGUCGUGAGAUGUUCGGUUAAGUCCGGCAACGAGCGCAACCCUGUCCUAUGUUGCCAGCACGUGAUGGUGGGAACUCAUGGGAUACUGCCGUGGUCAACACGGAGGAAGGUGGGGAUGACGUCAAAUCAUCAUGCCCCUUAUGUCUUGGGCUUCACGCAUGCUACAAUGGCCGGUACAAAGGGCUGCGAUACCGUAAGGUGGAGCGAAUCCCAAAAAGCCGGUCUCAGGUUCG
rnacentral:rRNA from 1 species